UACGUAGGGAGCAAGCGUUGUUCGGAUUUACUGGGCGUAAAGGGCGCGUAGGCGGCGCGGUAAGUCACUUGUGAAAUCUCUGAGCUUAACUCAGAACGGCCAAGUGAUACUGCAGUGCUAGAGUGCAGAAAGGGCAAUCGGAAUUCUUGGUGUAGCGGUGAAAUGCGCAGAUAUCAGGAGGAACACCGGUGGCGAAGGCGGCUCUCUGGGACGGUACUGACGCUGAGACGCGAAAGCGUGGGGAGCGAACAGG
rnacentral:rRNA from 1 species